rnacentral:rRNA from 1 species
AUUUGCGCAAUGGGCGAAAGCCUGAUCCACGCCAUGCCGCGUGUGUGAUGAAGGCCUUCGGGUUGUAAACCUCUUUUGUCCGGGAAGAAAGGGUGUGGGCUAAUACCUUGUGGUUUUGACGGUACCGUGAGAAUAAGCCCCGGCUAAAUACGUGCCAGCAGCCGCGGUAAUCA